UACGGGGGGUGCGAGCGUUGUCCGGAAUCACUGGGCGUAAAGGGCGCGUAGGUGGUCUUAUAGGGGUGUGGUGAAAGCCCGGGGCUCAACCCCGGGUCGGCCCGUGCCGACUGUAAGACUAGAGUGCUGUAGGGGCAGGCGGAAUUCCGGGUGUAGCGGUGGAAUGCGUAGAUAUCAAGCGGAACACCAGUGGCGAAGGCGAGUCCCUGGACAACACCUGACACUGAGGCACGAAAGCUAGGGGAGCGAACAGG
rnacentral:rRNA from 1 species